CCUACGGGCGGCAGCAGUGGGGAAUAUUGGACAAUGGACCAAAAGUCUGAUCCAGCAAUUCUGUGUGCACGAUGACGUUUUUCGGAAUGUAAAGUGCUUUCAGUUGGGAAGAAAAAAAUGACGGUACCAACAGAAGAAGUGACGGCUAAAUACGUGCCAGCAGCCGCGGUAAUACGUAUGUCACAAGCGUUAUCCGGAUUUAUUGGGCGUAAAGCGCGUCUAGGUGGUUAUGUAAGUCUGAUGUGAAAAUGCAGGGCUCAACUCUGUAUUGCGUUGGAAACUGUGUAACUAGAGUACUGGAGAGGUAAGCGGAACUACAAGUGUAGAGGUGAAAUUCGUAGAUAUUUGUAGGAAUGCCGAUGGGGAAGCCAGCUUACUGGACAGAUACUGACGCUAAAGCGCGAAAGCGUGGGUAGCAAACAGGAUUAGAUACCCGAGUAGUC
rnacentral:rRNA from 1 species